CCCCACUCCACCCACCACUGUUUGUCUAAAAAAACACCCAACCCUCGAUCCAGAUCCCCUUCUCCCUUCUCCCGAUUCACCCCUCGUCUCCCUCCCAUUCCACGCCGCCGCCGCCGCCCACGACCCUCGACGACCUCCCCACCGGCGCCGAGAAAACAGAGUCACCUCUUCUUCUCCUCCCAAAUCCUCCCGCUCCCCCUGCACAUUUCUGCAUGUCCCCGCUCCCUCCCUCGCUCCACCACGGCGGCCUCCCCCGCCGGCGGAUCUGGGACUGGGAGACGCAGCUGCGCUAGUGGCGGUCGGUUGGUUGGUGGCGGACCGGCAGAGCCUCAGUGACCAUCGAUUGGAGGCAAGGGGAUUGAGGGCGGGGAGUCGACGGCGAAAACAGAGGGCGGAGAUCCAUCGGUGGCCAGCAGCAGCAGCUCAGGUUUUUUGUUUUCGUCACUCCUUUGUUAUAUGGAAGAAGACUUCAUGGCACUCAGGAAGGUGCCAAGGAGAUGCUGGACCAAGGCAUGGAGGCAUUGCGAGCUGAAGAGCACAUAACUGCAGAUGCUGGAGGCCGGGCCGGUGAGCCGAGGAUUGGAGGUAGCGCUGAUUGGUGUUUUUAUGGAGAGAUAAGAUGCCGCUGUUUGGUGUUUUUAUGCAUUUUGGUUUGCUUGUAACUGUGUUUGCACUAGCUGUGAGUAAGUGACUUGGCAAGAAGUGUAGAUGUUUUAAUUGAAGGCAUGAAAAGCCAUGACAAUAUGUAUGCUCUUACAUGAUGUGCUAUAAUGCCGCUGGUUUAUUAUAAAUCUUGGAUUAGUAAUGAUGCGUAAUG